rnacentral:misc_RNA from 1 species
AUGCGAUAAGUAAUGUGAAUUGCAGAAUUCAGUGAAUCAUCGAAUCUUUGAACGCACAUUGCGCCCCUUGGUAUUCCGAGGGGCAUGCCUGUUCGAGCGUCAUUUCACCACUCAAGCCUCGCUUGGUAUUGGGCGCCGCGGUGUUCCGCGCGCCUCAAAGUCUCCGGCUGAGCUGUCCGUCUCUAAGCGUUGUGAUUUCAUUAAUCGCUUCGGAGCGCGGGCGGUCGCGGCCGUUAAAUCUUUCACAAGGUUGACCUCGGAUCAGGUAGGGAUACCCGCUGAACUUAA